AAACGUGGAACAAGGACAAAUAUUUAUCGAGAGAAAAACUUAUAGUUAUUUUGUGUUGUCGUUUGUUAGGUCGGAUUUCCUUCAAUUUAACAAAUAUUGAACAAAAUCAAUCCACUUAACAACAGCAAUGUGAAGGACUGAGUGAUGUUUUCAUAUGGUGGGCAUUUGUGAAUAUUUCAUGUAUAAUUCAAACUGGAGGUUCCAAAGUGAAAAUGUUUCAUGAUCUUU
rnacentral:lncRNA from 1 species